ensembl:snRNA U6 U6 spliceosomal RNA
GUAUGCUUGCUUUGGCAAUACAGAUACUAAAACUGGGAUGAUACAGAGAAGUUUAGCAUGGUCCUUGCACAAGGAUGACAUGAAAAUUAAUGAAGGUUCCAAUUUUAUU